rnacentral:rRNA from 1 species
AUUGAACGCUGGCGGCAGGCCUAACACAUGCAAGUCGAGCGAGCGGCGGACGGGUGAGUCAUGUCUGGGAAACUGCCUGAUGGGGGGGGAUAACUAAUGGAAACGGUAGCUAAUACCGCAUACCAUCAGAUCUGCCCAGGUGGGAUUAGCUAGUAGGUGGGGUAAUGGCGCACCUAGGCGACGCUCCCUAGCUGGUCUGAGAGGAUUACCAGCCACACUGGAACUGAGACACGGUCCAGACUCCUACGGGAGGCAGCAGUGGGGAAUAUUGCACAAUGGGCGCAAGCCUGAUGCAGCCAUGCCGCGUGUAUGAAGAAGUCCUUCGGGUUGUAAAGUACUUUCAGCGAGGAGGCGUUACUCGCAGAAGAAGCACCGGCUAACUCCGUGCCAGCAGCCGCGGUAAUUC